rnacentral:rRNA from 1 species
UCAGGACGAACGCUGGCGGCGUAGCUUAACGACAUGCAAGUCGAACGAGAAUCGUAUGGAAAGAGGAUUCGUCCAAUGGAAAUAGAGGACAGUGGCGGACGGGUGAGUAACGCGUGAGGAACCUGCCUUUCUAGAGGGGGACAACAGUUGGAAACGACUAGCUAAUACCGCAUAACGCAUUUGUAUCGCAUGGUACGAAUGCCAAAGAUUUAUCGCUGAAAGAUGGCCUCGCGUCUGAUUAGCUAGUUGGUGAGGUAACGGCCCACCAAGGCGACGAUCAGUAGCCGGACUGAGAGGUUGAACGGCCACAUUGGGACUGAGAUACGGCCCAGACUCCUACGGGAGGCAGGCAGUGGGGAAUAUUGGGCAAUGGGCGCAAGCCCUGACCCAGCAACGCCGCGUGAAGGAAGAAGGCUUUCGGGUUGUAAACUUCUUUUAAGAGGGAAGAGCAGAAGACGGUACCUCUAGAAUAAGCCACGGCUAACUACGUGCCAGCAGCCGC